UUGAAAAUGCAAAUGUUUUCACCCAUUAGUGAACAUGGGCCUCGCAGUCUGUGCGAGAUAUUGUGGCAGACUCAAGGAACAAUAUGGCCCACAGAGCACAGAGGCUGAUUGAGGUUAUAAUGAGGGAUGCAUCAAGACUGGAAUGUUGGAGGGGAAGUACUUGCUUCAUAGAACACUUACAUCAUUAGUGGAACAAAAGUAGAACAAAUUCAUCCACCUAAGCAACAAUCUACAGCAGAUCUGACACCUGAAAGCAUAAGCAAACAGUGGACGUCUACCAGCAAGUUCUGGGUGCAGUUAUGUGGUGAGGGACAAGAAUUGCUUCAGAAUGACCACAUAUUUUAUGAUUGGCAGCUGCCAGCACUGGUUUUGCCUACGACAUUAUCCAUAAAUUAUUUUGAAUUGGUAAUGGACCACCAAUCCGAGGCACCCCUGCAAGAGCUUUGAGGCACCCCAGGGUGCCACGGCACACAGUUUAAGAACCACUGUUGUACAUUAUGUACAUCCUAGCUGAAUACAUCCUGCCAUCACAAUUGUGGGGCCCAGGACUGAAUUCAAAUGGGGACAUACAACAAAGAUUGAAACUGUCCAUUGAAAUAACCAAUACAUGAUGGCAGAGUUGCAAUGUUUAAAUGGAAAGCAGUCGUUCUGCAUCAAGCACAUAUGUUACAAAGACAACAUGUCACCACACACUACAAAGUAACCAUCACAGAUCUACAGUAGAGCAGGUCAUCAGAUCCCCAUGGACAAGGGUACACACAGCAUAACAAGCCCCCAGAAGCUGUAGUAAAAGUAACAUAUUUGUAGAUUACACAGAACUCCCCAGUUCUAAUUUAUGCAGCCCUUCACCACAUGUUCUCAAGUUCAUGCUCACUCCACCCCAUUUUUAUGUAUCCCCAUAGCAGAAUAUGAAUACUGCCACACUGGUAAGGUAACUCAUUCCAACAUAACACAACCUAUACCUCCAGCCAGGCUUUCACCCCAGGAGGCAUGUUCUAUAGGUCUAUGCUCCCAAGGUUCCUAAUCUGCUUUGAUUAAUAUGAUGCCUACAACACCUGAAUCACCUUCUGCACUGAGAUUGCAUACAGGUUGUAAAUUGCUUUUAGAAUUUUCCCAAGAUUAAAUACUGAAUUUACAAAGAUGUCUGCAUCUGAGUAAAUAAUCUCCCUAUUGUUACAUGUACACCAUUCUAUAUCAUUCACACAUGUUCUGUGCAUAGCUUUAUCCUCACCACCAUCACUUCUCCAUUUACGUUGCACCAAUAUACUCCCGGACAGCAUGGCACAGUUGAUCACUUAUGUUACGUUAUCAGUGAGCCACAAUAGCAGUUAGAAAGGAACAAAACCGUACACAUUUAUAUAGGCUUAGUAAAGUUCUAACAGCUCUUACAAUGAAUUAAAGCUACAGUCAUUGUCAUAACAAUAACUGACACUGAGUACAGUAUCAGCUACCCAUAUCUUCUAUGUCAGCGGUGACUCUCUGUCCCAUCUCAAUUGCAGGUAUUUUAUAUACACAAAUUUUGAUAAUUUGACUAAAACACACCAUUCAGAUACCCAGCGCCAGUGCAAGGUUUCUCGGCACCCUAGGCAAUACUUCAGCCUGCUGCCCCCAACCACCACCAAUACCCACUGCCAGUCCGUCAGAUGAAAGUGUGACCUCCACUUGCAUUAAGUACAACAAGGAUGUUUCUUUAAGAGACAUCCUUAAUUUUGUGAUAGGCAGACUCAGUAGCGCCCCCUGCCAGAUCCUGGCAACCUAGGCAGCUGCCUAAAGUUGCCUAAUGGUAGAGCAGGCCCUGUAGAAACCUAUAGAAAUCUAGGUAAGUUUAGCAGCAUGGAUCUCACUCAUGAUGUCACCUGUGACCUGCGGGAGCGAGCCUCGGAUGCCAUAUUGUGUGUACACACUAGACGAUACCAUUUGAGACCAAACAAUAUCAGCCGUAUAGCAUGUGAUAUUGCCUAAUGUGUAUGCACCCUAACAUAUAUGCUUGUAACAAUAAUCCAACAUAAGGACAAAAACUGUAAAUAACUAUAAAACUCUUGGGAUAACUGCAGAACAAGGAUCUGUUAUGUUAU